UACAGAGGUCUCGAGCGUUAGGCGGAAUCACUGGGCUUAAAGCGUGUGUAGGUGGAUGCCUAAGUACCUUGUGAAAUCCCACAGCUUAACUGUGGAACUGCUUGGUAUACUGGGUGUCUUGAGUCACUCAGGGGCGAGCGGAACAAAUGGUGGAGCGGUGAAAUGCGUAGAUAUCGGGAGGAACACCUGUGGCGAAGGCGGCCGGCUGGGGGUACCCUGACGCUGAGGCGCGACAGCGUGGGGAGCGAACCGG
rnacentral:rRNA from 1 species